CCCUUAGAUGUCCUGGGCCGCACGCGCGCUACACUGAACGGAUCAGCGCGUUUUCCCUUCCCGAGAGGGACGGGUAACCUGCUGAACCCCGUUCGUGGUAGGGAUCGGGGCUUGCAAUUAUUCCCCGUGAACCAGGAAUGCCUAGUAAGCGCAAGUCAUCAGCUUGCGUUGAUUACGUCCCUGCCCUUUGUACACACCGCCCGUCGCUCCUACCGAUUGAAUGGUCCGGUGAAGCGUUCGGACCGUGGCCUUUGGACGGUUCGCCGUCUGUUGGCUGCGGGAAGUUCGUUAAACCUUAUCAUUUAGAGGAAGGAGAAGUCGUAACA
rnacentral:rRNA from 1 species